UGCCCAGCAACUCUUAUCCCUACAUCCGCGUGGUACCGGCAGGUAACUAUGGGCAACCUUAGGGAAGAUCGGGUAACCAACCCCGGUGGGAACUUUGGUCGUAUAGGCUGACAGGGAAGG
rnacentral:ribozyme from 1 species